CCCUGAGGUGGAUGGCCCGUGAGAGCGAGGCAACAACGCAACUGGGCCAAAGGCAGUAAACCCACCCCGCGCCUGCAGUGAGCCUAAAAACAUCUACGGAUGCGCUGGUGGUCUCACGAGGACGUUCGCUUCCAGGGGGGGAGGACUGUAACGGGAGACUCGCUCCCUUGUCAACCUAGGCGACAAUCCUCUUGUUACACCUAACGGGAGAUAGACCUGAAUGCCAGCAGUACGGAAAGGUAUGGAGAAUAAGACGACGGGGUAGGCGGUUGCACGCGGGGUAGGCAGCUGUGCGUGACUACGCGGGGAAGGCAGCCACGCACACCGCAGCGUAUGAAGUAAGCAAGGCCUGUCUGAAUGCCCCACCCGAAAUGACAGCGACUGGAUUAGAUGCUAAGUUGCAGGGAUUCGGACAGGCGGCAUUCCCGUGAGACUUUCCACGAGUGCAUGCAGCAAAUUGCGGCACGACCACAAAGCUGGGAAACAUCAUGGGGAAAUAAACAUGGGCCUGCAUACUUGGUUGAUCACGCGCGACCAGCAGGGCUGCUGUGCGUGUAUGCGUGCAUGCAAGUCAAGCAAGGUGCACGUGAGUGUAACAAGGGAUUGUGAGGAAUACAAACACAACGGACCGGGUGCGCAUAUGUGUGAGUAUGUGCAAGCUCAAAUACUUGGGAGGCGCUGUGUGUGGCACCAUUUGCUACGGCCUGUGGCAUCACAAGCGCUGUGGUCUCGAUUGGUGCGAGUCGAAGAGUUCACGUUGUCCGAGAUAUUACAGUGGGGAACGCAUGUGCUGCCAAAACACAGGCCGCGAUUCAUGAAUGGGUGGCAUGUACAUACAAUAUACAGGGGGUUUGCACAGCAAUAAUGACACUGCAUGUGCAUCAUAGAAACACCUUGAAACUGUGUGCUUGAUGCGCUAUCGUACACACGUCCAACAUGGUGUUGGGUUGUACGAUGCCUGCGCUGUAUUGAGUCUCGACUGGGCACAUCAACCUCGCUCUCUUUACUACUGCUGCCCUGCUGUGCUUGAUGCAACACCAGAAUCCGGUUAAGGUAUUCCCUCAAAAACACAAGAAACGCGCUAUCCUGUGUCCACCUUCCCUCUUGAGCGACGAUGCACAUGGAAUCCUAUCUAGCAGUGUUGGGCCGCGUAAGCAGCCAAUCAACGUGCAAAAGCAAUCUGCACUUGGCAGUAAGCCCAAAACGCACCACAUGUGCGCGCGUCUUAUUCGCGCAGUUCAGCUCACAGGUCAAUGACACUCAGGCCCUCACCACACACACAACAUCACACGCAACGCUAUCCACAAGAGCAACAGCAGCUUAGAAGCACAUGGAGCCGCCGACUGUCAAGUGGAUGGCCACGUAGAGGCCAUUGCUGGGCUCGGUCGAGGGCACGGGGUAGGAGCUGCUGCCCGACUUGACGGUGCCGGUGACGACGGUGGAAGCCCAAGAGGCGCCGUAGGUGAAGGGCGUGGUUGCGGGGCCCACCACGCCAGUAAACUUCGAGAACUGGCCGGGCGUUAGGGAGGGCGGCGCAAUGAAGGACUGGUACAUGUGCAGCACGCUGGAGGUGGUGGAGGCGGUGAGCGACGGCGCCACAAACGUGGUGAUGGACGUCUUGCCGUUGAGGUUGGUGAGCACAAACUGCAGGCGGCCCAUGAUGAAGCCCUUGGACACGCGGUUCUGUGCGGAGGCAGGGCAGGCAGAGACACCCGUGUCAGCAUGGUGCAUCGAGUUGAGCAGGUGACUGUUGAGUGGUGACCACGCACGUAACGCACGCAUGCAUGCGCGCGGGCCAGUCUUCUCAGGUCAUUGGAUCGACGGCAGGCAAGCCAUGUAUACGGCAGCGCAUGUGCGCAGGUCUCACCUGGCCGCAGCCGGCACACACGUCGAACUCGUAGAUGGCGCUGACGUCGUGAGGGGGCACAAUGCGGAAGUAGCCGCCCCAGGCGUUGGCCUUGGACGCGUCCUGGCGGGCGUUCCAGAAGACGCUGCCCACAGGCGCGGGGAUUUGCUGCUCGGUGCCGGCGGUGGAAGACAGGCUCUCCAUGACGGCCUUGGCUGUAGGCGGGAAAAGAGGAACAGGUGGUGUCAGCACGACAGUCCAUCACUUGCUUGCAGGGCCAAUCAAAGAGAGAUUCGGCGGUACUAGGAGUGAGCGGAUGGAGGCCAGCAACCGCAAGGCGCUUCAAUCAUGACUCACGAGGAAUGGCCCAGGCGGUGUCAGUGCUGCACUUGCAGGCGCUGGGGUUGACGGAGUAGACGGCAAACCACUUGCAGGUCAGGCACUUGAAGUUGUCGGCGGCGGUGUUGACGCGCGAGACGUACAGGUAGUUGGCAACGGUGGUGUAGGUGGUGUCGGUGUAGCAGGCCACGGCCACGGCGGCGCCGGUGGAGGUGGUGGCGCUGAAGAAGGAGUUCAGGCCGGGGUAGGUAGAGGUGACCAUGGGGCUGUACAGGGUGUAGUCCUGGGGUUGACCGGUGACGGGGUUGGUGCCGCUGAACACGCCGUUGGGCUUGGCCAGGCAGUUGUAGGUGUUGAGGAAGUUCUGGGCCGUCAGGGGCUUGGCGAAGUCGCCCGCGCUGCUCUCGACUAGGCAGUCCUUGGACGUGCAGGGCGUGCAGCUGUCCACGCUGGGGAUGCCGGCAGCGGUGAAGUAGCUCAUAGCAGGGCAGGUACCGCUGGAGCACGAGGCCGCGUUGGGCGCGGGAGGAGCGGGAGAGGGAGGAGCAGGGGAAGGAGGAGCGGGAGAGGGAGGUGCGGGAGAGGGAGGAGCGGGAGAGGGAGGAGCAGGGGAAGGAGGUGCGGGAGAGGGCGGAGCAGGUGAAAGAGGCGCGGGAGACGGAGGGGCAGGCGACGGGGGCUCGGGAGAUGGAGGAGCGGGCGAGGGAGGGGCAGGCGACGGGGGCUCGGGAGAAGGAGGAGCGGGCGAAGGAGGGGCAGGGGACGGGGGCUCGGGGGACGGAGGGGCGGGCGAAGGGGGAGCAGGCGACGGCGGCUCUGGCGAGGGAGGCGCAGGCGAGGGAGGGGCGGGUGACGGCGGCUCGGGCGAAGGAGGAGCGGGCGAGGGAGGGGCAGGUGACGGGGGCUCGGGGGACGGAGGGGCGGGCGAAGGGGGAGCGGGCGACGGCGGCUCUGGGGAGGGAGGCGCAGGCGAGGGAGGGGCGGGUGACGGCGGCUCGGGCGAAGGAGGAGCGGGCGAGGGAGGGGCGGGUGAUGGCGGCUCGGGCGAAGGAGGAGCGGGCGAGGGAGGAGCAGGUGACGGGGGCUCGGGGGACGGAGGGGCGGGCGAAGGGGGAGCGGGCGACGGCGGCUCUGGGGAGGGAGGAGCGGGCGAGGGAGGGGCGGGUGACGGCGGCUCGGGCGAAGGAGGAGCGGGCGAGGGAGGAGCAGGCGAGGGAGGGGCCGGCGACGGGGGCUCGGGGGAAGGAGGAGCCGGCGAAGGAGGGGCAGGAGAAGGCGGAGCAGGCGAGGGAGGGGCGGGUGACGGCGGCUCGGGCGAAGGAGGAGCGGGCGAGGGAGGAGCAGGCGAGGGAGGGGCCGGCGACGGGGGCUCGGGGGAGGGAGGCGCAGGUGAGGGAGGGGCAGGAGAAGGAGGAGCAGGCGAGGGAGGGGCAGGAGAAGGAGGAGCAGGCGAGGGAGGGGCAGGCGACGGGGGCUCGGGGGAAGGAGGAGCCGGCGAAGGAGGGGCAGGAGAAGGAGGAGCAGGCGAGGGAGGGGCAGGAGAAGGAGGAGCAGGCGAGGGAGGGGCAGGAGAAGGAGGGGCAGGCGAGGGAGGAGAAGGCGAGGGAGGGGCAGGCGAGGGAGGAGCGGGGGAAGGAGGCGCCGGCGAGGGAGGAGCGGGGGAAGGAGGCGCCGGCGAGGGAGGAGCGGGGGAAGGAGGCGCCGGCGAAGGAGGAGCGGGGGAAGGAGGCGCCGGCGAAGGAGGGGCCGGGGAAGGAGGCUUGCUAUUGGUCUUGCAUGAGCUGGGGAUGGUGUACACGUACUCGCAGGUCUGGCACUGGUUGGAGCCAGCCCAGCAGCCGCCGGUGCCCAGAGGGUUGGUGGUGGUGCACUGCGGGGAUCGAAGAUGAGAGGCGGGGGCAAGCAGGACGUUGGUUGUGAGUGGAUGAGGUGCGGGCUAUCUAGCGCCGCGGGCAGCUGCGGAUUCAGCAUUUCCGGGCCAAAUCGGAUUGAGCGAGCUACACGGCACUCACGUUGUUAGUGCCGGUGGUGAAGGUACCGUCGUGGAUCUGGAUGCCCACUUUGGUGUCGCUCUGGUCGAUCGCGAAAGAGACCUUGGUGAAGCCAUCGCAAUAGUCUCCCUUGUUGGUGCCGGCGCAAGAAGUCAUGAGGCCGCAGCGGGUGUCGCCCAAGCCCCACUUCAGGCACGCGCCCCUGCAGCGACAGCAGCAGGCAGCGAGUAAACACGUGUAACACGUGAGCGAGCGAGGGGGAAUGUAUGGAGGGCCGGCGCCACGUGCGUGUAUUGUGCACGGCAAGCACCGUAUCGCAAUCGCCCACCCCCUCCUAGCUCUGCUCCGACCUCGCCACUCCUUCCGCAAGCCGUACGCUCACCAGGAGUAGGUGCCGCCCUUGCAGCCGCUGCCGGUCACGUCAAUGGUGACCACAAGGUUCGUGCAGGUGAUGGAGGCGCAGCUCGAGUAGAAGGCCGAGCAAUCGGACGAAGGCUGAGCUGGGCAAAUCACAGUGUUGCCGAGCAUGCAGCAUGCGACCCGUGGAGCUGCGGAAGACUGCAGCGGUCUUGCGGGCCUGGGCCGCGCCCAUGAGGCACAGAAUCGCCAUCGCCAGCACGGCGACGGCAGCCGUCGCUGAGGACCGGCGGCAGGCCAUGAGGACCGAAAGCGUUGAAGGUAUGAAGAACUGGUUAGGUGUCGUAGGAACGAGAGGUAUGGCCGGGGGGAUAGGAACGAGGAAGAGGAAAAACGAGACUGGUAUUAAUACGCUUAGGUUGUGGGGGCGCACUGUCAAGACAGGCAGCUCCGAUCCACUAUGCCAAGUGAGUGCCUCUGUAGGGCUUAUAACAGGGGCUCGGGCGCCCUGGGGCGCGGGACAGGAGUGUCGUGGAGCAUGUGCAAUGGGGGGAGUCCAAAGGCCCGCGCAGGAGCCAAACGGCCGAGCCGUCGAGACCCCCGGAGCCAAACCGCGCGUGAGCCGAGCAGGGCGGCCCCGUUGCCGUGUAUCGCCGAGUAUUGUCAUGAAGCAGAGAAUGUGCUGCUGAGAGGGCAUGGCCUUGAGACCAGGGCAGCUGGGUGGAGCAGGCCCUAUCAGUACCCUGUGUGUCGCAGUAUUAGUCAGCAUUACGAGCGCACACAUUCUGGCACAACAGCUACAUACGCUUUCACAAAAUGGCAUCUUCUUUCGUUCUUGGUUGGUAAAUCAGUCCUCAGGGCUGAAACCGGCUGAUUUGACUGAAAAUCGCUGAACCCGAACACGUACUGCGGCCGGAAGCUGCCUACUGCAUGUCUUACCAAAGUUUAUGGUGGUGAAUUGCCUCACACUCGCUCGCCGGCUUCUUACAUUUUCAAAUGAUAAAGAUUUCGUGCCGAACCGACAUUUGCAAACCGGCCGCGGCCUGCGUUCUUGAUUGCCUACCUACCCUGUUUCCCCGCCGGCUCUUGCUUGCAAUUUGCUUGCAUGAUGGAUGACACCCUUGCUCGGUCAGCUGAUGACAUGAGGACGCUUCAACUGAAAACAUCAGGUCCUUUGGGAAUUAGCAACAUGCAUGCGUGCCGUGCCGCAAGCGACCUAGCUGCCGCGGCGGUCACACGCACAGAAUCUUCUGCACACUCAUGCCGGGCGUCGCCCGGUUACAGCACAUACAUGCUAAAUGCGCCAGGAGUAGAACAGCGGGGUGAGGUCGAAAAGCAACGGAGGGGUCAUGGGGAGGUGCAUGCUGCAGGUGUAGCAAGACUGCGCUGGGCAGUGGGGGGUUUCGCAGCAGCAGGGGGAGUCUGCUGGGUGCCACCGAGCGCACCCGCCCGCCGCAGCCCCCGACCCCCGCCAGCCCACCCAAACAUGGGUGCAAGUCCUCACAGCCAAUGUCACCACAGCUGGCACCACUGCACUACGCGCGCUAACCCGCCUAUCGCCAUCCCCCCGCAGAAGACCAGAAACCCCUACAAGCGCAGCCCGGCCACAACAAAGUGGUUUGGCUAACUCCCUGCAUUGGUCAUCGCAUGCAGUCUCCAAUAAAUGUCAUGGGACACCACCGACUUGGUCCUCAGCAAGUAUCAAGGUCCUCCCCGGCUAACCCUAAUAAUAAUAAUAAUAAUAUGUACGCGGUUCACGAAGGAGGCCGCGUUUCUUAAGGAGGAGUGAGUUUUGCUCACCCCACCGUGUCAAAAGGUGGAAAGUUAGCCUGGAUCGCGAGGGCUGGGGCCAGCAGCCGUGGCGCCGCCAGUGGGACCGACGUGGCGUGAGUUCACAAUCCCCAUUUCGCGCUCAAGGCGGUAGUAGAGAAGGGAUGUGGUGCGCAGGCUGAUGACACUGUGCAUGUGUAUGCGUGAGCAGCAGGAUUUUGCUGAUGUGGUGGUGGCACCCAGCGACCGGAGGAGGGGUUCCAAGGUGUUUGACACAGUGCCGCCGUGGCCCAGCGUCACAAUCUGCUCCUUUUUAUAUACUACGUCCCAGCCGGCAUCCCGCAGGGCGGCUAACCCUAACGAUGGCAAGUCCCCAGCCAGCAGAUGUCUCGGGCUCGUCCAUACCUCCUCGGGCUAGACUUUGUUGGCCCGGGUUUGGGGCGGUUUUGUUCCUAUGGAAAAGUCCUCAAAUCGCCAUGUACUCAGACAAAAGACGGCAGCCACCCUGCCGUUACUUUGUCUGAGCUAGACAUCACCCCAAAAACAUGAUAUGACCUGUAACGGGAGACUCGCUCCCUUGUCAACCUAGGCGACAAUCCUCUUGUUACAUUGGUGCGAAAUGCCAGGAGUCACCCUGACUGUUGAGGUCCCAGGAUCGAUCCUGGAUGGGUGCAUGGGUCCGAACUAGUGCACAAGAGGGUUACACCCUCCUUGCCCUGAGGUGGAUGGCCCGUGAGAGCGAGGCAACAACGUAACUGGGCCAAAGGCAGUAAACCCACCCCGCGCCUGCAGUGAGCCUAAAAACAUCUACGGAUGCGCUGGUGGUCUCACGAGGACGUUCGCUUCCAGGGGGGGAGGACUGUAACGGGAGACUCGCUCCCUUGUCAACCUAGGCGACAAUCCUCUUGUUACAUGACCCCGCCCUGCGGGGACCGCUACAUCGUCACCGCCGUGCCGCAGGGUAAUGGCCGGGCCCGGC
rnacentral:lncRNA from 1 species